GACAGGUUCAAAAGACUUCCAUGAAAAGAAACUUAAGCACUGGACUAAGAAGAGGCUGAAGGAUCCAGAAAUACUAUUUGUGGAAGGAAGGG
rnacentral:lncRNA from 1 species